rnacentral:rRNA from 1 species
UACGUAGGGUGCAAGCGUUAAUCGGAAUUACUGGGCGUAAAGCGUGCGCAGGCGGUUAUAUAAGACAGUUGUGAAAUCCCCGGGCUCAGCCUGGGAACUGCAUCUGUGACUGUAUAGCUAGAGUACGGUAGAGGGGGAUGGAAUUCCGCGUGUAGCAGUGAAAUGCGUAGAUAUGCGGAGGAACACCGAUGGCGAAGGCAAUCCCCUGGACCUGUACUGACGCUCAUGCACGAAAGCGUGGGGAGCAAACAGG